GAUGAACGCUAGCGGCAGGCUUAACACAUGCAAGUCGAGGGGCAGCAUUACUGCUUGCAGUAGAUGGCGACCGGCGGACGGGUGCGUAACGCGUAUGCAACUUACCCUAUACAGGGAGAUAGCCCAGAGAAAUUUGGAUUAAUAUCCCAUAAUAUUAUAAAGCAGCAUUGUUUAAUAAUUAAAGAUUUAUCGGUAUAGGAUGGGCAUGCGUAUGAUUAGCUAGUUGGUGAGGUAACGGCUCACCAAGGCAACGAUCAUUAGGGGGCCUGAGAGGGUGAACCCCCACACUGGUACUGAGACACGGACCAG
rnacentral:rRNA from 1 species